rnacentral:rRNA from 1 species
AGGACGAACGCUGGCGGCGUGCUUAACACAUGCAAGUCGAGCGGAAAGGCCUUUCGGGGUACUCGAGCGGCGAACGGGUGAGUAACACGUGAGUAACCUGCCCUUCACUUUGGGAUAACCCUCGGAAACGGGGGCUAAUACCGGAUAUUCACUUCCUGGCGCAUGUUGGGGGGUGGAAAGUUUUUCGGUGGGGGAUGGGCUCGCGGCCUAUCAGCUUGUUGGUGGGGUAAUGGCCUACCAAGGCGACGACGGGUAGCCGGCCUGAGAGGGCGACCGGCCACACUGGGACUGAGACACGGCCCAGACUCCUACGGGAGGCAGCAGUGGGGAAUAUUGCACAAUGGGCGGAAGCCUGAUGCAGCGACGCCGCGUGAGGGAUGACGGCCUUCGGGUUGUAACCUCUUUCAGCGCAGACGAGCGAAGUGACGGUAUGCGCAGAAGAAGCACCGGCCACUACGCGCCAGCAGCCGC